rnacentral:rRNA from 1 species
UACGAAGGGGCUAGCGUUGCUCGGAAUUACUGGGCGUAAAGCGCACGUAGGCGGGUCAAUUAAGUCGGGGGUGAAAUCCUGGAAGCUCAACUCCAGAACUCGCCUCCGAAACUGCUGAUCUUGAGUUCGGGAGAGGUGAGUGGAACUGCGGAGUGUAGAGGUGAAAUUCGUAGAUAUUACGCAAGAACACCAGUGGCGAAGGCGA